CUCCUUCGCAGUUUCGUUCGUUGCAGUCAUGUUUGUCUUCCUAGCGUUAGUAAUGCAAGGGGAAGAAUGGUCAUGUGUUUUUGCAGCUCCAUAUCUUUACAAGCAUAGUAAAAGCCGUGUAAACGGAGGCCCCACACCUUUUCCUCCAGUGACUCGGCCAACACCAACAAGGAGGCCUCCAGGUCCAAACCCUAGGCCAUUUGGUGGACGCUAAAGCAAAAUGACAAACGAACGCCGCUUUCGCUGGAUCUGGAAACCAGCAGCCAUCCUGCGCUUCAACGCCAUCAGGGAUUCUGAUGUGAAUUGCCGCACACAAGGAUAAAUCUCCUAAAUAAAAAAUGGCAAUGCGCCUUGCAUCUCUGCGCCUA